rnacentral:rRNA from 1 species
AGAGUUUGAUCCUGGCUCAGAAUGAACGCUGGCGGCAGGCCUAACACAUGCAAGUCGAACGGAUCCUUCGGGAUUAGUGGCGGACGGGUGAGUAACGCGUGGGAACAUACCCCUUGGUACGGAAUAGCCUCGGGAAACUGGGAGUAAUACCGUAUGUGCCCUUCGGGGGAAAGAUUUAUCGCCAAAGGAUUGGCCCGCGUUGGAUUAGGUAGUUGGUGGGGUAAUGGCCUACCAAGCCGACGAUCCAUAGCUGGUUUGAGAGGAUGAUCAGCCACACUGGGACUGAGACACGGCCCAGACUCCUACGGGAGGCAGCAGUGGGGAAUCUUAGACAAUGGGGGAAACCCUGAUCUAGCCAUGCCGCGUGAUCGAUGAAGGCCUUAGGGUUGUAAAGAUCUUUCAGUUGGGAAGAUAAUGACGGUACCAACAGAAGAUC